AGAGAGAGAGAGAGAGAGGGGAAACAAUGCCGGCGUUGAGUUAUUUGGAUUGGUUUCUCUUCUCUCUCAGCAGAGCAUUUUGUAGUCCUCUCGCUAUUUUCAUUCAGAUCCAGGGAUGUGUGAUCUGCUUAACACUUGCCAUUGGGUGGGCUUUUGCUGCUUUUGUCAGGAAUAGAGAGAUCAAGCGGAUGAAGAAUAGUAUGAGAGCUGGCAAUAGCUUUGCAUUUCUUUUUCAUGAUAUUACUAAACUAGAGCACUCAAAUCAGGUCAAUCUGCCUCGAGUGACUGUUGUUAUGCCCUUAAAGGGGUUUGGAGAACACAACUUACAUAAUUGGAGAAGUCAGAUCACAUCUCUUUAUGGUGGUCCUCUGGAAUUCCUAUUUGUUGUGGAAAGUACGGAAGACCCUGCAUACCAUGCUGUAUCUCGCUUAAUAACAGAAUUUAAGGAUGAUGUUGAUGUUAGAGUUAUUAUAGCUGGUUUGUCAACAACUUGUAGUCAGAAAAUUCACAACCAGUUGGUAUGUAACAGGUUCACAACUUAUUAAAUGGUCUUUAACAAUGUCCUUUUGGUCAACUAUGUGUCCAUGUCACAAACAUGAUUUGUUAUUUUCAUUCACACGGCAUGGCUAUAAAUUCCAAAAUUCUUGUCAAGUGGGAUUUUCUUCUUUGGGUUAGAUGCUUGAUUUUACUGAACAUUGUAUGUCCUUCCUAUACAAAUUGCAUCUAUAAAACCAGGACACAUUUGCUAGAUCAUAUAGUAACUUGAGCCUGCCUCUGCCUGUACUUGUCUAUGUUGCCUUUAUUAUUAUCUCCUCUAGAAGGUUUUUUUUAGCAUUGAAUUUGUGUCAUGGUGGUGUUAUAUAGUUUGGUGUAGAGAAAAUGCACAAAGACAGCAAGUAUGUAUUAUUUUUGGAUGAUGAUGUUAGACUGCACCCUGGGUCAAUUGGAGCCCUGACUGCUGAAAUGGAAAAAAAUCCUGAGAUAUUUAUUCAAACUGGAUACCCUCUUGAUCUGCCUUCCGGGAGUUUAGGAAGCUAUUGCAUCUAUGAAUAUCACAUGCCUUGUUCAAUGGGCUUUGCCACUGGUGGAAGAACAUUCUUUCUAUGGGGCGGGUGCAUGAUGAUGCAUGCUGAUGAUUUUAGAUAUGACCGCUAUGGUGUGGUCUCAGGACUACGAGAUGGUGGAUACUCUGAUGAUAUGACUCUUGCAGCUCUAGCUGGUGCUCAUAAGAGGCUUAUUACAUCACCUCCAGUUGCUGUUUUUCCUCACCCCCUUGCUAGCGAUCUCAGUUUUUCAAGGUACUGGAAUUACUUGAGGAAGCAAACAUUUGUAUUGGAAUCAUAUAUAUCGAAGGUUAAUUGGUUAAUGAACCGUGCAUUAUUUUCUUCCCACUGCUAUUUGUCAUGGGGGUUUGUAGCGCCAUACCUUAUGGCUAUGACUCAUGUUGCAGCAGCACUGCGAAUCUAUAUCCGAGGAUAUGCACAUGAGGAAACAAUCUUUGUUUCUAAUGGGUUGUUACUGGUCACUGGCCUAGCUGUGUGCACUUUUAUAGAACUUUUCUCAAUGUGGAAUUUGACUAGGAUAGAAGUUCAACUGUGCAACAUGCUAUCCCCUGAGGCACCUCGACUCUCUCUUGCAACUUAUAACUGGGUUCUGGUGAGUAUUUCUAGUUUGUUUUGGUGGAGUUGCAUACUUGUUAUACUUCAUUCUGGAUGUGGAAGUCCUCUAUGUAAAAAAUUUAAGAUGGUCCAAGUGUUUUACAUUGGUCUGGUGAUUGUCUGCUUUACAAUGAAAUACCAUCUCUAUCCUGUACCUCGACUUUCUUCUGGUUAGUCCUUGCCAUUGUAUAUUUGGGUGGGGGAUUUUAAUCUUCUUUGCCUUUUAAAAUUAAGGGUUUCAAUCUCUCCUUAGAUUAGUUGGCAUGAUGUAUUAUUAAGCAUUUAGGCUAUGGGUGAAAAGAUGAUUGAUUAUCUAAAUAGAAUGGUUUUAUUUGGAAAUAUGAAAUAUAGCAAUUAUUCAGUAUACUUGCAGAAGGGCCUCAAGUUUCAAUAGAAGUCCAAAUAUCAUUUGGGUUGGGGUGGGAUGUAAAUAACUGAUGACUUGCAGCUAAUUUAAUAUUAACAAAAUGAUUUACAAUGCAACAGGUAUUCAUUGCAUUGCUGGUGGAUAACUUCUUAUACCCCAUAUCUGCAUUCAGUUCCCAUUUCUCUCAGUCUAUAAAUUGGUCUGGUAUACGGUACCACUUGAAGAAUGGCAAAAUAGGCAAGAUCGAAAGAAGUAAGGGUAAGGGCCCAAUUUACACGGACUUGGGUGGCAAACACUUGUAUGGGAAGAAAGGAGUUCCUCCCAGAUCCUCUUUCCUUGGCUCUUUGGCAAAGAGUUGGACACAGUGGCGACAGCCUAAGAAAUUUGAUGUUUAGAAAUUGGCUCUAACGGGUGAAAUUCUCGUGAUUUUUCGCGCUUUUAAGGAUCCAAUGGGCAGUUAGGGUUUUGGGAGCAGGAUUCUUGGUGGAUUGUUGUACUCUCGGAGAGGGUUGACCAUUCCGUUCUUGAUUUGAUUUUAGAGAUUUAGGAAUUUUAGCCUCAUUUUUUUAAAAAUCUCCUUUCAAUCAAUUUUAUUCUUCAAUUUUGGCCAUCUUCUUGUCUUGGGCUGAUUUAGUAACUUGCGGUGAUAUUUGUUCUGUAUUCUAUGUAAUUUAUACAGUUUAAUAUCAAAUGUCAGUCGGCAGUAUUUCAAA
rnacentral:misc_RNA from 1 species